AGAGUUUGAUCCUGGCUCAGAACGAACGCUGGCGGCACGCCUAACACAUGCAAGUCGAACGGCAGCGGGCCUUCGGGCGCCGGCGAGUGGCGAACGGGUGAGUAACACGUGGAGACCUAUCCAUUGGUGGGGGACAACAGCUGGAAACGGCUGCUAAUACCGCAUAAUCCCUACGGGGGAAAGAUUUAUCGCCAUAGGAGGGUUCCGCGUCGGAUUAGCUAGUUGGUGGGGUAACGGCCUACCAAGGCAACGAUCCGUAGCUGGUCUUAGAGGAUGAUCAGCCACACUGGGACUGAGACACGGCCCAGACUCCUACGGGAGGCAGCAGUGGGGAAUAUUGCGCAAUGGAGGAAACUCUGACGCAGCGAUGCCGCGUGGGUGAAGAAGGCCUUAGGGUUGUAAAGCCCUUUCAGUGGGAACGAUGGUGACGGUACCCACAGAAGAAGCCCCGGCUAACUCCGUGCCAGCAGCCGCGGUAAUACGGAGGGGGCGAGCGUUGUUCGGAAUUAUUGGGCGUAAAGCGCGCGUAGGCGGUUUAUUAAGUCAGGAGUGAAAGCCCUGGGCUCAACCCAGGAACUGCUCUUGAAACUGGUAGACUGGAGUCCGGCAGAGGAUGGUGGAAUUCCCCGUGUAGAGGUGAAAUUCGUAGAUAUGGGGAGGAAGACCAGAGGCGAAGGCGGCCAUCUGGACCGGUACUGACGCUAAGGCGCGAGAGCGUGGGGAGCGAACAGGAUUAGAUACCCUGGUAGUCCACGCUGUAAACGAUGAGUGCUAGUUGUCGCGGGUAUCGACCCCUGCGGCAACGAAGUUAACACGUUAAGCACUCCGCCUGGGGAGUACGGCCGCAAGGCUAAAACUCAAAGGAAUUGACGGGGGCCCGCACAAGCGGUGGAGCAUGUGGUUUAAUUCGAUGCAACGCGAAGAACCU
rnacentral:rRNA from 1 species